CACGUAGGGCGCAAGCGUUGUCCGGAAUUAUUGGGCGUAAAGAGCUCGUAGGCGGUCCGUCACGUCCGCUGUGAAAACCCAGGGCUCAACCCUGGGCUUGCAGUGGAUACGGGCAGACUAGAGGUAGGUAGGGGAGAAUGGAAUUCCCGGUGUAGCGGUGAAAUGCGCAGAUAUCAGGAGGAACACCGGUGGCGAAGGCGGGUCUCUGGGCUGUUACUGACGCUGAGGAGCGAGAGCGUGGGGAGCGAACAGG
rnacentral:rRNA from 1 species